rnacentral:misc_RNA from 1 species
UCCGAUUUAAAUAUCGGCAGUCUCGCUAGAGUGCCCGGCCGAACCGCUGGCAACUAACGAUAGGGGUUGCGCUCGUUGCGGGACUUAACCCAACAACUCACGACACGAGCUGACGACAGCCAUGCACCACCUGUACACCGGCCCCGAAGGGCUGCCGUAUUUCUACGGCAUUCCAGUGCAUGUCAAGCCUUGGUAAGGUUCUUCGCGUCGCGUCGAAUUAAACCACAUGCUCCGCUGCUUGUGCGGGUCCCCGUCAAUUCCUUUGAGUUUUAAUCUUGCGACCGUACUCCCCAGGCGGACGACUUCACGCGUUAGCUGCGUUACUAAGGGAUUUAACUCCCCCAACAACUAGUCGUCAUCGUUUAGGGCGUGGACUAC